rnacentral:rRNA from 1 species
ACGGAGGGUGCAAGCGUUGUUCGGAAUCACUGGGCGUAAAGGGCGCGCAGGCGGUUUGGUAAGUCAGAUGUGAAAGCCCACGGCUUAACCGUGGAAGUGCAUUUGAAACUGCCAGACUUGAGUAUCAGAGGAGAAAGUGGAAUUCCCGGUGUAGGGGUGAAAGUCGUAGAUAUCGGAAGGAAUACCGAUGGCGAAGGCGACUUUCUGGAUGAAUACUGACGCUGAGGCGCGAAAGCGUGGGGAGCAAACAG